AUCGUCACCACCCUGAAUGUUCUUACAUCGCGGAGUGGAGCACCGUGUGCCUGACACGAAUCUUGGCGCCAUCGCCGAACAAUAAGAACUCGGUAAUUGCUGCAAGAUUUUGCUCUCGACGCGGACUUCAUGUUGCGCGAACGUGAUAUACUGCGCCGAGAGGCCACGUGACCGACUGUGCCGACGAUUGCCGGCUUAUCGCAAAUAUGCCGUAGUGCACAUGCGUAGUGGCAAGAGGCAAAUGUUAUGAGAUAACUGGAAUGGUUUGAGGAUCCCGGCUCAAAUCGGAGAGUAAUUUUGCAUAUGAACUGCGAUUGCGUUCGGCGCAGUCGCUGUCGGUCACUGCCCAAAGCGGCAACUUAGGGCCGUUGGAGGCGUCUACGCAAACAACAUCGGAGCCAAGCGAGCCGCGAUGCAGCUGUAAUACUCGAGCAGCUCGACCGCGGCGUAAGCCGUAGAUUGCAGAGCCAGACCUGUUGGAGUCAUAGUAGCUCUACACUUUGCAUAAGAACAUCUGCGUCGGAAACUUUACAGCUUUACUAUGACAAAAGUGUCCCCCUUGCAAGGCGGCGAUGGUAAGAAACCACGCCCCCUGUGGGCGAGGCUGUCAACUAGGGCGGCCGAAUCCCGGCUGCCCGGUUGGAUCCCUGAGCGAGACCGUUACGAGGCCGGCUCUUCCUCAGGCCCAACGCCCAAGCAGAGCUCCGUCAAAAGGCCGUCCACCAAGCAACACGGCGACCGUAAUGAGCCUGAACCGCCGGGGACUCUGCUGCCAUCAAGGGGCGUCGACAUCCGGCGGCCCGGUGGGAUAUCGGAGCGGGAUUGGCAGGAGGCCGGUCCUUCCUCGGGUGCCAGGCCGAGUCCCGUGAAGAGGUUGGGUCCCUGCUCCAGACCCGCCAAGACGGCGCGAAUGCACCGCAGGACGGCAGCAGUGACCGCCACCGUUUCCGGGAUGCCUCGCCGCCGUCGCUCGCAGGAGGACGUGUCCCGGCAGAGCCAAGCGCUAGCCAACCUGCGCCUCAGUGACCUUGAAAGCGACGACGAUCAGGACGCCGAUGACGCCGGAGGACGCAGUGGCGCUCCUAUGGAGGUCGACCCUGCGCAAUCGUUCUCUAGAGCGUUCGACGAGAUAAUGAGGACAGCUUUGGCGUCCGUACACACGACAGCAUCGUCCUUCGUCGCCGUGAGCGAUCCUGGCCAGCAGUCGGGAGACGACUCUUCUUCUUCGUAGAGACUUCUUCGAACGGCUUCCUGCUUCGAAACACUAGGACACGUGAUUCGUAUGAGACAAAAGGAGCUUAUUACCACCUUAAAUUUAUGGCGAAGUGGACACUGUAAGUUUUAUACGAUUUUUAACCUUGGGCUGCGAUGGGUUACUAAGCCGCGGCUUGUGUUCGAUUACCUUUUUUUUUCUUUUAGUAUAUUUUACGCUUUUGAAUUUUGAGACUGCGUGCCUUGUUGUGCGUACAAACACGUGACUUCCUAACUAUUCUUGCCGGCCUUCAUUCCUUGCACACUUGCGUCAAUUCUGCUCGCAUCUGCUCUGAUACGAUGCUUUCUGCUGUUAUACGAUGCGUCUUCUUUCCCCGGCGUGGGGCUUGGUAUUGGCAGUACGAUUGCGGAAGAUUAUCGGUGACUCUUGCUCUUUUACAGCAAUUAUUGAAAUCAUGGAGGGGGAGCGAGACACAAAACUCGUGUACAGAAGAAAAGAAAACGCAGAUUUUCUUUGUUCUUGAGCAGAUGGUAAGGCGCAUGUGGACAAACAAAAGUCAAGAAUGCAAAGCCGGAGUAGAUUGUCGAGUUGUUAGUUUCUCUGUUUAGCAGCUUAUGGUUACUGCAGUUAAAGCCGCGCUACGUUCCCCGGCAAGACGAACUUAUGUGGGCGAUUGAGCUGCAGCAACGCCAACUGCACAAGUUGUCAUCAUUCUGCUUCUAAAGACAGGUUCAUCUCUGCACAACCCGUUUCGUACAAGUGCUCGCGUUAGAAGAGGUUGCGCACAGUCACUGUGUGAACCGUACUGCGCUUGCGCUCAAGAUACAGCGGAUAACGGUUAGCUACCCCGCCCACUCCCUUGCGGAGCCAACUAAGCGUAACGUAACUGUGCGUGCGUUUGUUCUUCCAGCUUUGCAGACAGCCUGAUGGUGCCUCACUCUUAUCUUUCAAACGUGGUAAUCAAAAAGUCGCAGUUUCGCCCGAAAGGCGAAACAUCGAUUGCGAUAGCAAAUUAGUAGACAGCUUCACGAAGUAAGGAUAGCAGUUUUAGCGGCCGUAUAAACUUGUAAAAAUUCGCUUGCUAAAUUAACUAGUACGGUGAGUG